GUAGUCUCGCACAGAUGCAUAUCAAUAAGCGGAGGAAAAGAAACUAACAAGGAUUCCCUCAGUAACGGCGAGUGAAGCGGGAAGAGCUCAAAUUUGAAAUCUUCAAGGUUUUACCUUGACGAAUUGUAGUUUAAAGAAGUGUUUUCUGUUGAAGUUUUGGUAAAAGUUCUUUGGAAUAGGACAUCACAGAGGGUGAGAAUCCCGUCUAUGAUUGCGAUUUGUAGCUUUGUGAUACACUUUCAAAGAGUCGGGUUGUUUGGGAAUGCAGCCCAAAACGGGAGGUAAAUUUCUUCUAAGGCUAAAUAUUGGCGAGAGACCGAUAGCGAACAAGUACCGUGAGGGAAAGAUGAAAAGAACUUUGAAAAGAGAGUUAAAUAGUACGUGAAAUUGUCAAAAGGGAAGCGUUUAACACCAGUGUUGUUUUCUGAAAAUCAACCUCUGUUAGCUUUAUGCAUGUUUGUUUAGACCUAAUCAGCUAUCUUGCAUGUUCUAUUGUUUGCAGUGGUGCACUUUUCAGUUUACAGGUCAACAUCAGUUUUUUUUACCGUAAAAAAGUUAAAGAAAGGUAGCUCAUGGCUCCGGUCGUGAGUGUUAUAGUCUUUUUCCUAUGCGGUAGGAGAGACUGAGGUCUGCAGUGUAGGCUAUUUGGCUAGAUACUCAGGUGCUACGUGAUACCAUUUCAUAAACAACUUGUUGAUUAUGUUUUGUCUAUUGCAUACUCGCUUGUACUAUCAUACCUACGCUUAGGAUGUUGAAGAUGUAGCACAUCAU
rnacentral:rRNA from 1 species